rfam:Sporosarcina psychrophila strain DSM 6497, complete genome.
AUCUUAUCUAGAGAGGUUGAGGGACUGGCCCGAUGAAACCGCGGCAACAGACUGUUUAGUACUGUGCCAAUUCCAGUAAACGAAAGUUUAGCAGAUAAGAG